rnacentral:rRNA from 1 species
UACGGAGGGGGCGAGCGUUAUUCGGAAUUAUUGGGCGUAAAGGGCGCGUAGGCGGCUGGGCAAGUCAAAGGUGAAAUCCCUCGGCUCAACUGAGGAACUGCCUUUGAAACUGCCUGGCUUGAGGCCGGGAGGGGGUAGCGGAAUUCCCAGUGUAGAGGUGAAAUUCGUAGAUAUCGGGAGGAACACCAGUGGCGAAGGCGGCGAUCUGGGAAGAUACUGACGCUGAGGUGCGAAAGCGUGGGGAGCAAACAGG